AUAUAUAUAUAUAUAUAUCGCAUGUCAGGUAUCACAUAGCCUUCACAAUAUCUGCAUAUGCUUUCGUUCUGAUUCUAAUCAAGCCCUGUUUAUCCCACAGCCCCCCUCUGGCCGAAGACGCUUCUGCCUCAACAGAUCCGACGAGGAAGAAGAGGAGGAGGAGAAGGAAGAAAAGCGCACAGCCCGAAGCUCCUACCGCUGCUAAUACACCUGGGACAGCUACCUGAAUUACAGGGGCAAGCCGGAGAUGUUACACUUCUAUACACUCACAAAAAAAGCAAAUACACAAACUCUCUCUCUCUCUCUCACUCACACACACACUCUCACACACACUCUCUCACACACACACAUUCUAACAUUGGCAUCUAUUUUGGAUGCAAAUGAGAGGAUCUCUAUUUAGGAGAAGUACUUUAGAACACCAUCAUCCAUCUGUAUACUGUGCGCGCGCACACACACACACACACACACACACACACACACACACACACAGAGCUCUCACUUUUGGUGAUGUUACUUCUACUUUCGUGCAUUGUGUUAUAGAUACUUAUGCCAUUGAGUAUCAAAGACGCACUACACUGGAAGUUUUUUGUUGUUGUUGUUGGACCUGCUUUGUGUUGCCCCCCCAAUUGCUUCCCCAGAGUGUACUGCAGCAUUCCUCCUGGUUUCUGCCCUGCUCGGCCAGUGGUGCUGCUAGCUGCCGGCCCACGUUGAGCUGAGCUAAAGAAAUCCGGCAUUAGCUUGCUAGAAUAAAGUGGGGAGAUUUGUCCUGUUUGCACUUCAUUAAAAAUAGGAAAAUGGAAAGAAAUACUGUUCUACCAAAAAAGCCUUUGUCGCAAGUGUGUACAUAGAUUUGAGGGGAAGUGGGUUUUUUUCCAUUACUUUAAAUCAGUGGAGAGUGGGAGUCGAGGAAGUAGUGUCAUCAAUUUAAGCUCAGCUUCCUGCAGGUAUGAGCAAACUCUCUCUCUUUCCCUCUCUCUCUCUCACACUCUCACUGCGUCCUGAGACCCUGAGCUGUCUUUCCUCAGCGAUCUUGCAGUGCAGUGAAUUCAUUUUUUCGUGCUGAAGAAGGCUGCAGCCCCUGUUUCUCCUCCAUCCUCACUGUGAUUUAAUGUGUUUUGGGAUAUCACACAUCAUUCACCUGACAGUACUGUGCUCAUGUUGGAAAUUUUUGGCUCAGCUGUCAUCUCCUUCCUUUUUCGCAUUGUUCUUAUGCUUACUGUGUUUCUUGCUCCUGGCAUACAUUCUUGUUUUCCAAAGGGAAUGUACUUGAUCCUAAGUUUGGUGACGAUUACCUUACCUAUUUUCUUUAUUGUCACAGUGGUCAAAUACUGGAAAAUUCAUCGUCAUUAACAGCUGUGAAUGGCUUUUAUAUUGAUAUUAUACAGCUAAACAACACACACGUGGCAUGAGCACAUGAAUAGAACUGAUGCUGUGAAUCCAUCUUUCUUUCCUCGCUUCCUUCCUUAUCUCCUUACACCCUUGCUUACUUACUACCUUCUUUCCGUAUUCCCUCAUUUCCUUCGUUCCUUAAGUAAGUAAGUAUGUCCCAAGUCGGAUUCUGCAGUAUUGUCAGCCUUACCUUUGACAUUUUAGAUAGCGCUGCACUUAACAAACCUCCUUCUGUUGUUGCUAUUAUUUUGCUUUCAUUAUAGUAUUUAUGGACUUGCGUUAAUGAACUGAGCAAAGUUGCCAAAUGCACACAGUUUUACAUAAAGCAUUGGAGAGGACUCGCUGCUUUUAUUUUAUUUUGAAGGGAGCCAGCAUUUGUUUCACAUGGUUUUUAUGGACUCUCGUAGGUCAGUGAUUUCAUCCUUGUUUCUAUGCAGUCAUUAUUAAUUUUAUUAUAAAGAGUGUGUGUUUUAUCAUGUUUCUGGCUCCAUACAAACACAUGACGAAAAGAUACAUAACACUGCUGGCUGUACACAUUAAUAUGAAUAUAUAAGUCUGUAUAAUUCAUCAUAGCUUUAAAAAUAACUCCUGUUUAUUUUCCUUAUUGAAUAAAUGGCCACUUGUUAUAAGUAAUAAUUUUUCCAUUAUGGUUUAAUAUAUUGUAAAUAAAUUAUGGUGAUUGUUCGACUUGCUUCAGUGUUCUUGAUUUCCUCAUUUCCUUCUCUGCAGUUUCUUCCAUGAAAGCUUGUCUUUAUAAAAUCCCUCUUUUUCCCCUCUGUUGCCAUCUUAAAUAUUCAGAUCAACAAAAAUGGGCUUUCAUUUUCAGAGGGUUUGUUUGGUUUGAGAAGCUGAGAAGCAACAUGCCAUAGUAGAGCAAGCAGUCUCUCUAUUUUAUUUUUUCUUUUCAAUCAUCAUUGCAAAAAAUGUCUGUUGUUUCAGGCCAUGUGUCAGAUGAAGCCGUACACAUCUCAAGCCACAGAAAAACUGCACAGCUACUGUAUAUCCGAAUAUGUAUGUUCUGUAAAAUUCACAGUAGUGUACAUAUUCCAGUAUUUCAGGAAGUUCAAUGCUAACUGCAAAAAGUCAUCAUGUCUGGGGUUUUUGGUCAUUUGAAUUGUGUUCAUCUCUAUACACGUACUAAUAAGCAAUAGCUGAAGAAUUAAAUUAAUAGCUAAGGAAUCUUAGGAAUCAUGAAAAUAAAAAUCAAUGCAUACCAGAAGUCGUGUUAAAACAGAUCUUCUAAAGAUAUUAUUAAGUAAAUAAAUAAAGCAAUCCCUGUCCAACCUGGCACAGUAUUUUUGGUUCGCUGCUAAAUGGAAAUAGAGACUGUCUAAAUUAUGUACAGUAAGUGCCAUUUGUCAUAGAGGCAGGUCGUGUGGACAAAUGGAAGGCUGCUGAAGAAAUGUGUAUCAGCAUUAUUGCAUAGGAGUCUAGGUGCAAAUAACAGCAUGCAGUGUAAUGCUUUUCGAAGAGAAGCUCAGAGAACAUCAGAAUAUUGGCAUGUCGGCCCCUGUUCUCCUGCCUCAUUUAGAUCGAUGAUGGUUUGGUCUAUUAGGUGUAGCGAAUUAUGAUAAUUAGAACAAUAUUGCAUGUGCACACCAGGUAUGAUAAUGAUUAUAGGUAAUGACUAAUUAUUAGAUGUGCAAUCAAACUUUAAUCUGAAUAAUAAAUUCAGUAAUGAAAUGAGUAAUGAGGUUACUAGAGCAUGUUUAACAUUCUCAGUAUAACAAAUAAAGAGUAAUAUUUUGACUACUUUAUCUCCUGGAAGAUAAGUACAACAGGCUUUAUUACAGUUGUGAUGGAACACGUGUUCAAAUCCAUGCCAACGAUCAGUAGUAUACAGGAAUACUGAGUCGGUCAAGUCAUUUUUUUGCAUAAUCGAGGCAUUGCUGUCAGGCAUAGGGAAAAUAUGUAAUGCCUUUUUUUUCUUCUUUUUUUUCCCCCCAUAUUUGCUUAUUCAGAUUGUAUUCAUAUUUGUUUUGUUCCCAAAUAAUAGCUCAGUUCCCGCAUUAAUUUUCAGUUGUGUUUUUCUUGCAGAGCAACUAAAUUGUGCAACUUACUGCUAACAAAAAGAUGGAGUCCGUGUGUAUUAACGUGAAACUGGUUCAGGAAGCAAAUGACGGUAUACACUGCAAUACAUAAGCCACUUAUAAAGGAAUGAGUUUUUUGUUUGUUUGUUUUGGUUUUGUUUUUUGUUCUCACCAAAUCAGCCACACAAUGUUUAUGCUCAUUUCAAUUAAAAGGAUGGAUCAGAACAAGUUUCACUAUUGUAAUACAGUAGUUAAACAUGGUCAUGCAUUUUCGCAGUUACUAUUGAUUCACAGUUGCACCAAUAUUCAUCUAAAGCACUGGAUUCUUUCUGUAUCUGACGUGACGUACACUCCCUGGACGGAACACCUGUACACCUGCUCAUUCAUGCAAAUAUUAAAUUGAACCAAUCAUAACCAAUCACAGCAGCAUAAUGCAUAAAAUCAUCCAGAUACAGGUCAAGAGCUUCAGAUGCUGUUCACAUCAGAAUGAGGGAAAAAAUGGUUGUUAGUUUAAAUGUUUUAGAAACUGUUGAUUUCCUGGGAUUUUCAUGUGCAGCACUCUCUACAGUAGGGGUGUUUAAUCUUAUCCGGAAAGGGCCGGAGUGGUUGCAGGUUUUCAUUCCAGUCAAGCGGGAGCCACGCCUGAUUCCACCUGUUUAAUCGGUUGAUCAUGCCUUCCAAUAGAUUCAGGUGUGGCUUCUGCUUGGUUGGAAUGAAAACCUGCACGCUUAUCCCUUUCCGGAUAAGACUGGACACCCUUGCGCUAGAGUUUACACAGAAUUGUGCAAAAACAUCCAGUGAGCUGCAGUGUUGUGGGCAGAAACACCUUGUUGAUGAGAGGUCAGAGGAGAAUGGCUAGACUUGUUCUAGCUGACAAGAGCGCUACGGUAGCUCAAAUUUUUAACCACUCUUUAUAACCGUGGUGAGCAGAAAAGCAUGUUAGAAAGCUUCAUGUUAAAUCUUGAGCUGUAUGGCCCACAAUGGCAGAAGCUGCCUCCUGUCAGCCAAGAACGGGAAUCUGAGGCUUACACUGGGCACAGGCUCACCGAAACUGCGUAGCUGAAGAUUGGAAAAACAUCAAGCUCUAAAAGUCUUGACAUGUAUCUGCAUGCUUUUAUGCAUUGCACUGCUGAGACAUGAUUGGCUGACUGGAUAGCACGCCGCAGAUGUUCGACACAAAGACAGAUCGCUUCUUAAAGCUUGCUGGCAUCGUACCUGUGAUCGAAAAUGAAAAAGUUGGCAUCCCGAGCCUUUAUCGUUCACAUCUUCAAACUUAUCCUCUUCACAACUUCAUUACAGACCACAAAUAAUGCAAUACGCUCUCACUGUGCUUGUGCUUAUGGAGAAAAGCUUCUAUCCCAUUAGGGCAUCUUCUUUGUGUUCCAGUUUCAGGACUCUCAUCUCUCAAAGCUGCAACCAGGUGAAGUGUGUUUGUGCGAGCCAAAAAAGACCAAUAGCUUGGAGCUUUUAGUGACGGGGCUUUGUUUGAUGUGUCGUGCUUUAGUGCAUUUCAUGUUCAGUACUGCUGAGCCCUUCGGUAGCUCUUUUAUUCAGGUUAGACCUUUACAGAGAGGUAAACAACUCAGGCUUUUCUAAAGAUAACUUUUAGAUGCGUUUUGUUCCUUCGGUGUUUUUACACUGAGACCUUGAUGAAAGCCAAUAUAAAGGUGUGGAGAGGUUACAAAGGUGGAGAAGACCAUUAGAGGUAAAGCUGUAAGUAAAAUUGAAGUUAUUUUCAGGUAUGAAUGCAUUUUCUUACAAUACAUGUCAUUAGUUAUACACUUUAAGUAAGCUUGUAAAUCAUGGUAGUAUGUAAAGUUUCUUGUUUUUUUGUUUGUUUGUUUGUUUGUUUUUUUAAAGAAAAAGCUCAAUAAAAAAAUACCUCAAUGACAGUGUAGUUACACUUCCGUGAGUCACCAUGGAAAGCCUGUAAUAAUAAUAAUAAUAAUAAUUUAUUAGUCUGAGAGGUCAGGUCAGGCUUGGUGUUGAGUCUCUGGGACUCAGCAUCACAGAUAUAUAUAUACCAUGAAAGAAAGUUCAGCUAGUCUUAAUGGCUGUAUGGAAGCCAGCACUGAUGUAGUGACCUGGAGGAUGCCACAGUGGCAAGAAAAAGUGUGUGAACCUUUUGGAAUUUCAUGGUUUUCACAUAAAAUGUGAUCUGAUCAUCAUCUAAGUCAAGGGUAUUGACAAAUAUAAUGCGUCUAAAAUAAUAACACAAAAUAAACUCUGAUCUUUCAUGUCUUUAUUGAGAACAACCAAAAAAACCUCAUAGUGCUUGUGGAAAAAGUAUCUGAACCCUUAAGUUAUUGACCUCAAAAAAGCUUCUCUUUUUUUGCACACCUGGAGUCUCGUUAAGAAAAUGAGUUUGGAGGUGUGGACUACAGCUACUUUGACUGAUAAAAACCCCUCAAACUGUUGGAGUUUGCUCUGCACAAGAACACACGCUUAUGUGAGCCAUGCCUCGCCAAAAAGCGCUUUCAGAGGCUCUAUGAUCAAGAAUUGUUGAUUUACAUAAAGCUGGCAAGGGUUACAAAGUGAUUUCAAAGACUUUAGAAAUUCAGCAGUCUACAGUUAGGCAAACCUCCUACAAAUGGAGACACUUUGGGACUGUUGCUACUCUACCAAGAAGUGGACGCCCAGUCAAAAUGACACCAAGAGCACGACGAAGACUCAUCAAUGAGGUAAAGAAACAACCCCGAAUGACAGCUAAAGAUUUGAAGGCAUCAUUGGAACUGGAUAACAUCUCUGUUCAUGAGUCUACAAUGCGUAAAACAUUGAACAAGCAGGGUAUCUACGGCAGGACACCAUGAAGGAACCACUGCUUACUAAAAAGAACAUUUCUGAAUGGCUGAAGUUUGCAACAUGAAAACAUCAUCCCAACCGUAAAGUAUGAUGGAGGAAACGUCAUGAUUUGGGCCUGCUUUGCUGCAUCAGGGCCUGGCCAGCUUGCAGUCAUUGAGCUGAAGAUGAAUUCCCAAGUAUAUCAGACAAUUCUUCAGGGUAAUGUGAGAAUGUCUGUACGUCAGCUGAAACUGUGUAGAAGUUGGGUGAUGCAACAGGACAACGACCCAAAACACCGGAGCAAGUCCACAACAGUGUGGCUUCAGAAAAACUAAAUCCGCCUUUGUAGUGGCCGAGUCAGAGCCCAGACCUCAACCCAGUAGAGAUGCUAUGGAAUGACUUGAAGGGGGGGUCAACCAUUUAUUAAUUGUAAGGGUUCACUUACUUUUUCCACUGCCAUUUUGAAUGCUGAAUGAGUGUGUUCAAUAAAGACACGAGGGAUCAGAAUUUAUUGUGUUAUUAAGUUAUAUUUAUCAGUACCCUUGACUUAGAUGAAGAUCAGAUCACAUUUUAUGACAAAUUUAUGCAGAAAACCAUGAAAUUCCAAAAGGUUCACAUACUUUUUCUUGCCACUGUACAUGGAGGAUAUGCCAAAGAAACAAUGAAAUGGUGCACUUGCAUGCAAAAAGGGAAAGCAACAGGGGAUGGAUGAAAAUAGAGGAGGAAUAUUGGCUAUUCACAGGUAGUGCCAUGGAAUUUGAGAGUGAUAAGCUGGCUUUCUGUCGGCUGAAAGAUGAUACGGUGUUUAGCUAGUUCAGUAGUUACCUAGCUAGGUUCUAAUACAAUAACCAGUCAACUUAAACUUGUAGAAUUUGUAGCUGAUGUUACCCAGUUCAAAGGUUGUUUUAGCUGGCAUUAGUCAGCUGGUCUGCAAAUUGUGUUUGUAUGUUGUGGGUUUAGUCUUUUGAGUCCAGUCUAUUGGGCGUGACUGGAUCAAAACUCCUGAUCGCUUUCAGUUUGUGUAUUUUGUUCUCUGCUUCCAGGAAUGCAGGGAGAAAAUAAGAAACUCCACUCAGAUAGUAACUUCAGCUCAGGAUCAAACUAUGAGCCCUAGGGCUGUGAAGCAGCAACACGACCAGCUGCACCACUGUACUGCCCCAGAUAAGUCUCUCAAUCCCCAAAUUGCCAAAAGUUGCAUACUUCUGCUGUAAAUGUGUACAGUAUGUACAAAAACAAAGUAUACAGUUUAAACUGUAUAAGCUCAGAAGCAGUGGCAUAGCUAGUAGUUACUUUCAGGCAGGAUGAGGAAAUAUAGUAAAUAAAGUCACUGUGUGAUCUGUACAAUGAAAUUCACUACUAGUCUCCUGGUGUGUAUGUAUGUAUGU
ensembl:lncRNA